rnacentral:lncRNA from 1 species
AGAUUCUUCAAAUGAUGGUAUAUGUGUAUUCUUAUUCCUCGUGAUGAGAUGAAGAUGAAGUAAAAAUUUUAUUUCCAUUAAAUAUAAAAAUAUAGGCACACUUAUUAACAUCAAUUUCUGUACAAAACUUUUAAUAUUACUAAUUCUUCUAGCCAAAAAGUACUAACACCAAUAAACUAAAAGCAUUCUUAAGCCAUAUCCUUUUUCAUAUUUCUCAUAGUCCCUUUAUACUCAUCAUUCUUUAACCUCGUGGAUUCCCUCUAAUCUUUAUUGUUCUUAAAACCCCCUAUUUACUUCAAUAUUAUGUCUUUAACGUCCC